rnacentral:lncRNA from 1 species
CAGCAGGAUGGUAGAAGUUGUGUAUAACUGGAGAAGAAUUGUGAGGUGACUAUGCUCAACAGAAUGUGCCUGUGCUGUUACAUAGGAUAUUGAAAACAUAUCUGAAAUGAUGCAAUCAUCUACCACAAACACUUCGAAAACUAAAGGGGACUUCUUAUUUUUCAUUAUUUUGCCAGUAUGUCAGAAAUGCAUGACCUCUUUUCAGCUGAACGAUCCAGGACUGGACUGACUUGGAGGGAGGAAAAACAUGGCAUCACCUUUUCCACCGAUUCAAAUGGAAGCCAAGAGAUAUCUCUCCUUUAAGUGUUAAUACAGGAUAUCUAAUUUAGAACUGGUGAUAAUGAGGAGUGUUAUUUUAUCCCAGUUAAUCUUCAUAAAGGCCAUGUUUCUUAAAAAUCUGUAUGGAUUUCUGCACAGAAAAAGAAACAGUGGUUAUGCUACUAUACC